UACGUAGGGUGCGAGCGUUGUCCGGAAUUAUUGGGCGUAAAGAGCUCGUAGGCGGUUUGUCACGUCGGAUGUGAAAGCCCGGGGCUUAACCCCGGGUCUGCAUUCGAUACGGGCAGACUAGAGUGUGGUAGGGGAGAUCGGAAUUCCUGGUGUAGCGGUGAAAUGCGCAGAUAUCAGGAGGAACACCGGUGGCGAAGGCGGGUCUCUGGGCAGUAACUGACGCUGAGGAGCGAAAGCGUGGGGAGCGAACAGG
rnacentral:rRNA from 1 species